rnacentral:rRNA from 1 species
GACGAACGCUGGCGGCGUGCUUAACACAUGCAAGUCGAACGGAAAGGCCCUGCUUUUGUGGGGUGCUCGAGUGGCGAACGGGUGAGUAACACGUGAGUAACCUGCCCUUGACUUUGGGAUAACUUCAGGAAACUGGGGCUAAUACCGGAUAGGAGCUCCUGCUGCAUGGUGGGGGUUGGAAAGUUUCGGCGGUUGGGGAUGGACUCGCGGCUUAUCAGCUUGUUGGUGGGGUAGUGGCUUACCAAGGCUUUGACGGGUAGCCGGCCUGAGAGGGUGACCGGCCACAUUGGGCCUGAGAUCCGGCCCCGACUCCUACGGGAGGCAGCAGUGGGGAAUAUUGCACAAUGGGCGGAAGCCUGAUGCAGCAACGCCGCGUGCCGGAUGACGGCCUUCGGGUUGUAACCCGCUUUCGCCUGUGCCGAAGCGUGAGUGACGGUAAUGGGUACAGAAGCACCGUCUAACUACGUG